rnacentral:rRNA from 1 species
UACGUAGGGGGCAAGCGUUAUCCGGAUUUACUGGGUGUAAAGGGAGCGUAGACGGCGCGGCAAGUCUGAAGUGAAAGGCGGGGGCUCAACCCCCGGACUGCUUUGGAAACUGUCAUGCUAGAGUGCAGGAGGGGUAAGCGGAAUUCCUAGUGUAGCGGUGAAAUGCGUAGAUAUUAGGAGGAACACCGGCGGCGAAGGCGGCCUACUGGACUGUAACUGACGUUGAGGCUCGAAGGCGUGGGGAGCAAAC